UGUGGGAGCGGGCUUGCCCGCGAUGCAGGCGCCGCGGUGUAUCAGUUGCACCGCAGCGAUGCCAUCGCGGGCAAGCCCGCUCCCACA
rnacentral:misc_RNA from 1 species